GACGAACGCUGGCGGCGUGCUUAACACAUGCAAGUCGAACGGAAAGGCCCUGCUUUUGUGGUGUGCUCGAGUGGCGAACGGGUGAGUAAACGUGAGUAACCUGCCCUUGACUUUGGGAUAACUUCAGGAAACUGGGGCUAAUACCGGAUAGGAGCUCCUGCUGCAUGGGGGGGGUUGGAAAGUUUCGGCGGUUGGGGAUGGACUCGCGGCUUAUCAGCUUGUUGGUGGGGUAAUGGCUUACCAAGGCAAUGACGGGUAGCCGGCCUGAGAGGGUGACCGGCCACACUGGGACUGAGACACGGCCCAGACUCCUACGGGAGGCAGCAGUGGGGAAUAUUGCACAAUGGGCGGAAGCCUGAUGCAGCAACGCCGCGUGCGGGAUGACGGCCUUCGGGUUGUAAACCGCUUUCGCCUGGGAAGAAGCGUGAGUGACGGUAACGGGUAAAGAAGCACCGGCUAACUACGUG
rnacentral:rRNA from 1 species